GCGGAAUAUUGGGCGCAGCUGAGCAGCCACGUCGCGUGCAUGAUGAAGGCCUUCGGGUUGUAAACCUCUUUUAUUACCGACAAAAUUACGGUAACUUAUGAAUAAUGGCGGCCCGCUCCAUGCCACCACCCCCGGUUCUCCACCAUCCCCCCCGGCAAUAAAAUAAUGUCGCCUUCGAUGGUGAUGAAAUUUUCCAUGUG
rnacentral:rRNA from 1 species